rnacentral:sRNA from 1 species
AGGUUCGAAUCCUGCACGACCCACCAGUUUUAGCAUCGAAGACAAGAUGUUAAGCGUGUAGGAUAACGUUGCGUCAGCAACGGCCCGUAGGGCGAGCGAAGCGAGUCAUCCUGCACGACCCACCA